AUAAAGUUUUAUUUUGGCUUAAUGAUUUAUUAUUAAUUUAAUUUAUAUGUAAAUUUUUGUGGGAAAUUUUAUUUAUUUAAAUAAUAAUUAAUAUUUAAUUAUUUGCAAUAAUUAAUAUUAUAUAUUAAAGAAAUUUAGAAAUAGUAAUAUUAAAGAGUAUUGACAAAAUUUGUGCCAGCUGUCGCGGUUAUACGAAUUAUACAAGUAAAUUUUAUUAGUUUAAAGUUAAAUAUAUUUAAUUAAAUAAUAAUACGUUUAUAAGGUGAAAUUUUAAAAUUAUUAAUUUUUAUAAUAAGUUAGUUGAUUCUUAAAAAUUUUAAAUUUAAACUAGGAUUAGAUACCCUAUUAUUUAAAGUGUAAUAAAAAAAAUUUAGGUAGUAGUAGAUAUGUUCUUGAAACUUAAAAAUUUUGGCGGUAUUUUAGUCUGUUCAGAGGAACUUGUUUAAUAAUCGAUAGUCCACGUUGUACCUUACUUAAAUUUGUUAUCAGUUUAUAUACCGUCGUUAUUAGAAUAUUUUAUAAGAAAGUUAAUUUUCCCAAUUUUUUAUAUUAAAUUAUAUCAGAUCAAGGUGUAGCUUAUGUUUAAGAAUAAAUGAGUUACAAUAAAUUUAUUUAAAUGAAUUUAAAUUUGAAAUAUUUAUUGAAGGUGGAUUUGAUAGUAAAAUUAUAAAGAAAAAUAAUUUGAUUUUAGCUCUAAAAUAUGUACAUAUCGCCCGUCACUCUUAUUAUUAAGGUAAGAUAAGUCGUAACAUAGUAGAUGUACUGGAAAGUGUCUCUAGAAUGCA
rnacentral:ncRNA from 1 species